AAAGGAUCCAGUGUAAUCAACCAGCUUCCAGAAGGCAGGCUGUUCCUCUUGGGAAUGGUUCCACGUUGACAUUCAGGAUUUGUCACUGAAGCAAGCAAGCUGGAUAUGCAGCCAGCUACUGGGUUGCUGGAGACAGUGGCUGACUGACAUCCUAAGUGGAUAACCGUGUCGUCCUUGUUAAAGAGAGACCUCCCACCUACCACAGGGACUUCGGAUCCGUUCAGCCUGAGAGAUGGGUGCUUCUGGGAAUGCCUGCAUCUGCGGCUGCAAGGAUGAGAUAAAGCCACUUCAGGAUGCACAGUUCAGCCAGCCAGUGCGCUAUCUCUUGGGAAAGAGAGACGAUCAUGGCCCUGGAGCAUAGCACCCUGGAGCAGAGGGGUGAAGCAGCAAUAGUGCUCGGUCAGGAGACCCGCACUACUUCGGUCAUUUCUACUUAUCAGGAUGGAGAAAAACAGCAUUUUUGAGGUAGGUACCUACGUAAAAUGUAGCAGAGGCCGACUCGUACUUCUUUUGGUUUAUUUCAGUAGAGAGAGGCCAUAGCGGUGUCAGUGAGAGCAGCCACUUUGUCAACCUUGUGAAGACCUACUGUCCUUACACCUCCAAAAGCCGCACCACCUGAGCUCUGGUGUCUAUAACCACUGGUGGAACCUGUUCCUUCACCAAUGAGCAUUCUAGAAGCUGCAAAUGCUGGCUCUGGCUGACUGGCAUGUGGUACAGCCGGUGGGUUGUUCAAGUCUCCAGUAAAAGAACUUGCCUCUGCAGCUCCCCAGGUCCCCAGGUCCCCAGGCACGGAACCCAUCCUGACAGGAACCCUUCCUGUCUGCUAGGAGCAGCGUGCCUCAGGGAUAUGCGUUUCCAUCCCCAUCUUGGUAACCUUCACUCCACCUCUAAGGGUAAGAUGGGUGAAGAUGCUACUGACUGCUGGGAUGACUCACAGUGCAGCAGCUAAGGAAAGGGUUCCGGCUUCCACUGAGUCUCCGGGGAGAUGACUUUGGUCAAAACUCUAUUUCUUCCUUUACUCCACCCAACCCCCCUCUCUGAUUAGAGGACUGGGGUGGUGUUCCAAGCGCUGUGCAAAACACUACUGACCUUCACUUUACCUGUGUAUUUCUCAUCACUUUGGCGAGAGCAGUGUUUUCUUGGGGCCCUCUUUGGAGACAAGGCAAGGUCUGAGGGAACAUGUUUCACUAAUUCAUUCAUGAUAAAGCCACACCCAACAUUCUUCUCUCUUCAGCACCCAGGUCUUUGGACUCCUUCAGCUAAUGUCUGGCAGCUCAGUCUCAUUCAGUGGAGGAUGAUCACUGAGUACAGAUUCCAGUCAAUGACACAAACAGCUGAAACUGCUACAAGCUGCCUGAGCUCACUCAGGCAUCAAGACUCUGGAAAACAAACCCAGGUCAACUAAAUUCUGUGUGUUUUACAUGUGUACACGUCCCCCACCCCCACCCC